rnacentral:rRNA from 1 species
AAACCAACAGGGAUUCCCUCAGUAACGGCGAGUGAAGCGGCAAAAGCUCAAAUUUGAAAUCUGGCACCUUCGGUGUCCGAGUUGUAAUUUGAAGAAGGUAACUUUGGAGUUGGCUCUUGUCUAUGUUCCUUGGAACAGGACGUCACAGAGGGUGAGAAUCCCGUGCGAUGAGAUGUCCAACUCUAUGUAAAGUGCUUUCGAAGAGUCGAGUUGUUUGGGAAUGCAGCUCUAAGUGGGUGGUAAAUUCCAUCUAAAGCUAAAUAUUGGCGAGAGACCGAUAGCGAACAAGUACAGUGAUGGAAAGAUGAAAAGAACUUUGAAAAGAGAGUGAAAAAGUACGUGAAAUUGUUGAAAGGGAAGGGCUUGAGAUCAGACUUGGUAUUUUGCAAGCCUUACCUUCGUGGUGGGGUCCCCUGCAGUUUACUGGGCCAGCAUCGGUUUGGAUGGUAGGAUAAUGACUUGGGAAUGUGGCUUUGCUUCGGUAAAGUGUUAUAGCCCUUGUUGAUACUACCUGUCUAGACCGAGGACUGCGUCUUUGACUAGGAUGCUGGCAUAAUGAUCUUAAGUCGCCCGUCUUGAAACACGGACC